AGGAGGAACAACCGCAGUGGCGGGGCCAGCUCUGGAGCCCUGGAUUCAGCUCCGGCAGGAACUCCGUCUGCAGGGCCUGGAGGCUCCGGGGCGGG
rnacentral:pre_miRNA from 1 species